UACGUAGGGGGCGAGCAUUGUCCGGAAUUACUGGGCGUAAAGGGCGCCUAGGCGGUUUUUUAAGUCCGCUGUGAAAGACCGAGGCUCAACCUCGGGAUGUCAGCGGAGACUGGAAGACUGGAGUGUCGGAGAGGAGUGCGGAAUUCCUGGUGUAGCGGUGGAAUGCGUAGAUAUCAGGAGGAACACCGAUGGCGAAGGCAGCACUCUGGCCGAAGACUGACGCUGAAGCGCGAAAGCUGGGGGAGCGAACGGG
rnacentral:rRNA from 1 species